rnacentral:tmRNA from 1 species
CACUCGCACUGACUUCGCUCUCGCUGCCUGAUCAGUGAUCGAAGGGUCAGCCCGGAUGUAGCCUUCCGUCCGGAUCCUGGCCUCGUUUAGAAGGCUUGCUGUACAGCCGUGGUCACGGAGGCUGUACGGGACUUUUCCGUGACUGGGCUUGUCUGCACCAUGUCGGUGUGAGUGCAGGAGCCGAGCAACAACGACAGCAUCGACUGCGCCCGGAGAAUGUCUGGACGGUCUUUCAAGGACGCGGGUUCAAUUCCCGCCAUCUCCACAU